UCUCUUCAAGGGCUAAGGCCACUUCGAUUCAACUUGUUUCAAUACAUCCAUGAAGGCAAUUCGAUAUAGCUCCGCGAUUUCGAUGAUAGCUCUGUCAAGUCAUUGAGUUUCCGGGAAAAAAUAGCAGAAAAAACGUAACUGUUUUAAACAAUCGAGGUCACCGCUUGUAACAAAACACUUCUCCUAAUUAUCAAAUCUUUUUAAGGUCAGAUACAGCACUUGAUAGAUAAGUAAACCCAAUCGCUUAGCAGGGAACGCAAUGCUAUACUCAGGGAAGCGAAGUCUGCUACUACGUUGUUUGUAUUCUAAAAUAAUUAUUUUGUGGUAAUCAGUGUAAGUACAACAUUCAUUCGUCUUUGGAACAAAUUUUGUCGUCAGUCAGUCAGUCUUUCUAAGCGUGCUAUUUAGUAGUACUUGGUUUUGUUUUGUGCAUUAAAUUAAAAAUCACGAAGUCAAAAUUUUCGUAAAUGUCAGAUACGUGCCUAUAAAUCUAACGUAAGCGAGGCAGUUUUGUUAAAGAUACUAGUAAAUGUUUGAAAAGAUAAGUUUUAGUGUUUCAAUUGCUUUUGUGGAAAUGAACGGGGCUGUAUCAGAUCGCCUUGAUGGAUGUACUGAUUCUGAAUUAAAUCUGAAACAUCAGCUUGAAUCAAGACAACGGAGGAGGAGGAACAACCAGGAACAACUUGAGCAUGAAAAUAUAUAAACAUUUCUAAGUAGAGUUCUAUUCAACCCGAGCUCUAGACCCUAAUGCAACUCUGAGUACCGAGUAAGACGAGGUGUCUGGGUUUUUCAACUGAUUGAUCACGUCAGAUCCACGACAAAGCAGCUUGCAGUCAAGUUUUUUCCUAAGAAAAUAACAUCCUUUGGCCAUCACUCGUGAAUGGCUUAUAGCUAAAGUACCUUCUGAGGGAAGUGAAAGAAAACUAAAAAAAAAAAAAAAAAA